rnacentral:rRNA from 1 species
GAUGAACGCUGGCGGCGUGCCUAAUACAUGCAAGUCGAGCGAACGGACGAGAAGCUUGCUUCUCUGAUGUUAGCGGCGGACGGGUGAGUAACACGUGGAUAACCUACCUAUAAGACUGGGAUAACUUCGGGAAACCGUAGCUAAUACCGGAUAAUAUUUUGAACCGCAUGGUUCAAAAGUGAAAGACGGUCUUGCUGUCACUUAUAGAUGGAUCCGCGCUGCAUUAGCUAGUUGGUAAGGUAACGGCUUACCAAGGCAACGAUGCAUAGCCGACCUGAGAGGGUGAUCGGCCACACUGGAACUUAGACACGGUCCAGACUCCUACGGGAGGCAGCAGUAGGGAAUCUUCCGCAAUGGGCGAAAGCCUGACGGAGCAACGCCGCGUGAGUGAUGAAGGUCUUCGGAUCGUAAAACUCUGUUAUUAGGGAAGAACAUAUGUGUAAGUAACUGUGCACAUCUUGACGGGACCUAAUCAGAAAGCCACGGCUAACUACGU